AUUGCACAUGUUUCGUCAGCACAGCACUGAAUUAAAUUAAAAAUGGCUACUGGAUAUAGCAUAAUAUGGACCACCCACAAAUCCUCUGUCAAACAUUGUCACAGAUUUUUGUUCACUAGUUGUUCAGUGUUUGGUCUGAGUGACCUUUUUAGAAAAGUUGUCUUUGGGAAUGAAAAUGAAAGUCUAUUGCCCAACAAGACGAUAACUCCUAAAGAGCCCAAACUCCGUCCAUUAAUGACGAUUGGACUAGAAAUAGGAUUGAUCAUAAUUUGGAGAUGAAGAGCAAAAUCCUUUACGAGUGUGAGAAGCAGUUCCAGCGACAGGUACCCAGUAAUGCCCUAAAAGGCAUAUCAACUCUCGGGGACAUUGUGUCAUUCUUUCACACUCCUCCUGCCCCUCCCCUGGCCUUCUCCUCCCUGAUCUCAGAGACCAAUCAAAGCUGCCACAGAAUCUUUCAGUUGAACUGCCAAGCCAAGCAAAGCCCAGAGAGAGGGUUCCAUUUCAGAACUAUGACAAUCCUAAACACUCUCACUUUCCUAAUAAGAAAGAACUCCAGAAGCAGUACCAGGCAA